rnacentral:tRNA from 1 species
GAUUCCGUAGUGUAGCGGUUAUCACGUCUGCUUCACACGCAGAAGGUCACCGGUUCGAUCCCGGGCGGGAACA